rnacentral:rRNA from 1 species
CGCCUCUUGAACACUAUAAGAGGUCCAGCCUGCCCAGUGACCUUGUUUAACGGCCGCGGUACCCUAACCGUGCGAAGGUAGCGUAAUCACUUGUUCUCUAAAUGCGGACUAGUAUGAACGGCAUCACGAGGGUUAUACUGUCUCCUCUUUCUAAUCAGUGAAACUAAUCUCCCCGUGAAGAGGCGGGGAUAAAACUAUAAGACGAGAAGACCCUAUGGAGCUUUAAACAAUAUAGCACUUGCCCUGUAAUAUAAAAUUUCCGAAUCUUAUUCCAAAGCAAUAUGACUAUAAGUUUUUGGUUGGGGUGACCGCGGAGCAAAAUUUAACCUCCGUGUUGAAAGAAUUAAGCUAAGAAUCACCCUUCUAAGCAUCAAUAUAUUGUCAUCAAUUGACCCAAUACACUUGAACAACGAACCAAGUUACCCUAGGGAUAACAGCGCAAUCCACUUCAAGAGCUCCUAUCGACAAGUGGGUUUACGACCUCGAUGUUGGAUCAGGGUCUCCCAGUGGUGCAGCCGCUAUUAAAGGUUCGUUUGUUCAACGAUUGAAACCCUACG